AUCCCUUCCGGCGAACGGAUCAGCAGCAUCCACUCGCCCGCGUGAGACCAUUGGAUCGUCUCGAAGUGCAGGGUUGUCCGAUAACACGACUCCGUGCCGCCGUCCUGCAAAAGAGCGAGGUGACAUUCACGAGCUACGCCACGGAGCACGAACUCACUUGAGGUUGACCCAUAUCGAGCUGCUUUUUCUCCCGAAAGUAGUGCAGUAAAAUCGAAUCGAGAGAACCAAGGGUGUUACUGGCCGUAUCGAACCCGUAUGGGAAUCGGGUGCCAAACAAAAAGAAGAAGAAGAAGAAGAAGAGAGAACCAAGAGAGAGAGAGAGAGAAAGAAAAAAUCGCACGAUACUGCGCUCUUCACAAAUAUUAUAUGGCGCGAGAACUUGUACGGGGCUGCAGCAGGAGUGGAAGCGAGCAAUUUGUUGCCGAAAAUAGUUUCGCCGAGCUUGCCAUUAAACGAGUUGAAAGAAUAACGAGAUCUCUCUCUGAACUGCAUCAGAGGCGCCGCGGGACGCACGAAGCUCUUCGUGACGACGCUCGUAAAAGCCCGUCUUCCGAUCGGCCGAUCUCGAGCGCCGUGCUCUCCUAUUAUUUCUCCCCUGCUCGAGACCGAAGUUUCCAGGAUCAUAUGGAAAUCCAGAGCGGAGUUUCCAGGACGACCGCCAUCGUUCGGUGAGGACUCCAAACACGUUGUCGCUCGCAUGGGAGAUAUCUUCCCGGAUAGCGAGCACUGUGAAGUGGAUAGCGGAGUGCAGUUCGAGAGAGUACGUUUGCCAGAACGUACGGGGCGAGAAGAGAGAGAGAGAGAGGGUAGUAAGGGAAAAGCGUCAUCGAGUAAAGAGGCGCCUCUAAUUCGCGCGCCUUCUAACCACUUCCUUUCUAGCUAGACGCUCGACGACACUCUUGGCGUUGAAGAGCAGCCCGGAGCACCGGAAAGGGUACUUUCGUUUGGAACGCGGCCAGGGGUGGUUCCGUUGUCGCGGAUCCGAUGCAAAUGCCGCGCCGGAGAGGCUGCUGCAGUCGAUGCGGGCCGGGCGUGAAAAUAACGGCGGACCCGUAAAUCGAAGGUGCGUGACGGCGAGCGGAGCUGAAUGGCGAAACGGACGAUUGCAAAUCGCGAGAAUCACCCCAGCUGGAAAUUUAAGGACAUUCGCAAGGACUCCACGUCGCAAGGAAGAAAUAUCACCCUCGAAACUUUAAAUAAUAAUAAUAAUUUUGCUAACACGACUUGUUUCUACAUUAAUCGGUAGACUCUCCACGAGGUAGAUAGUAGAUAAUCGAAUCGCACACGCUCCAUCGUUUCCUCCGAAACCAUUGCAAGGGCACGUUUCUCCCGUGGCUGAAGCGCCAAAAUGGAGUACAUAACAGCAGCAGCAACAACAGCAGUAACAGCAGCAGCAGCAGCGGCAGCGAUGGCGGCAACAGCAACAACAACCAACUAAAGCCUCAAAUUACGAAAACGGAUGACGGAGAAGCGCGACGGCUUCAUUAACAGCAAUUUAUCACGGGACCGGGGCUGAGCGGGGGUCAACGGCAAGCGCCACCAUUAACCGCCUAAGGUCGUUAGGUUGCGGUUUGACAUGAGAACAUGCCCAUAACAUCGUUCGGUUAUACAUGUACCCGUCCGCCUGUACGGCAAAGCACGGGGGUGAACCUGCGCUUGUGGCGCUGCGAACGCGCAGGGGAAGGCGGGGGCGAAGACGAGGGCGCACUGAGAGAAGGGUUGGCGGUGAGAGGACGCGCGCGGGCAAACGAACGUUAGAGCACGGGAAUACUUGCCGUUACGUCACGAGCUAACCAUUAGCGGUCGUACCCGGUUCAUGUUUAGACGCCCCGUUAUUGAAUUGGUUACCUACCUACGCUCUCGCCUGUCCCAGAUAUCGCGGCCGGUGUUACACGCUCCGUCGCUAACAUUAAAACUGACGAGGGUUGCGCGAGGACGUGCGCGCGUUGUAGGACGCGGCGCAUUAGGUCGAUGCGAAAGGGUCUGUCGUUCGCCAUUUCGUCGUUCCUUUAAGUUGCGACACGCUGAUGCGCGGACUAUACAAGCGGGAAACGUGCCAAUUUGCAUUCAGUAUAUUUCCUGAUACCAUUGGCGACAAAUUACGAAGCUCUGCCAAUUUGUAACUCACAACCGGAUUUCAGGUUUUGUGUCUUCGAUAGCAAUUAGAAUAUCUUUUAAUAAAUCUUUUCGUUCUGAUGGCACGAUUUCAAAGAUACAAUUAAAAGAAGAUGAAAAGGAAAGGGAAUCGUAAUGCGUUAAUGAAAAAUCAAAUAUCAAUUUAAAGUUUGUUGUCACUGAAAGAUGUAGAACAGGAAGCAAAAGUUCUUUACAUUUCGCUAAACAUUAUUGAUAUAUGCGGAUUAUAAGCAUGUACUUAUGCUAGAUAUAUUCUAUUAGGUAUUCUAAAAUCAUCUGUGAUAUUGCUCGGUAGCAUAAGUUGAAAUUUUCUAAGUACGAUCCAUUGGAAUAUUUGAAUUUCUUAAUUAAAAACACACAGUAUGAGAUAGUUGGACGUACUGCUUGUUUUCGAUUAAUUAAUUAAUUAAUUAUGACCCAUAAAUAUAACGUUUAUAACAUGAUAAAUAAAAAGAAAAGAAAGUUACUAAUAGAAAGUUUCAUAUUUGUUUUAAUUUAAAAAUUUGCAUGUUGAUUAAAAACUGAAAUUACAGCUUGACGAGAUUCGACAUAUGUUUACAAAGGAUUACGCGAUUUUUCGCAAAUCGAUUCUUCAACCAGUCUCUUUCUAUCGGAUUUGGUCAACUUGAUGACCGGAUCGAAAAUGUUCUGCAGCAUGUCCAGAACCCUGACGAAUAUUGAGUAGAUAUCGGCGGAAUAGAGCAUACCAAGUUAUUCAAAGCUGCGACUAAUCCUCCACUCAAAGAAUAAAUUGAUAUAUAGACUAUAGAGAGCAGCUGAUCCAAUCUGUUUCUGUGAUGCAUGUGCGGAUAAGUUAUAAUAUAUUAUAACUCCGAUAGUAGCAGAAUAAUUACUAAUAAAUAUAGUUACUAUAUUAAUCGCAAAUAUUGAACAAUAAUCAUUGAUAAAUAUUGCUUUCUGUGAUGACAAGAAUUUUUUAAAUAAAACCAACACAUUUCCGUUCUUUCGAUAAACGCAAUUUCCGAAUGGGCACACACAGGGCGAAAUGUACAAGGAAACUUCUAAUCAUAUAACACUCAUAUCAAAAUCGUCACUAUCGUUAACCGUUUCUCCAUAAAACCAAAAAGGUGACGAAUAUUACUUGUUUAAUAGAAUAAAAAUGGAAUAAUAAGCGAUUCCAACUGCAAUAAUAAAUUCAGCAUCGUGAGACAUUUUUCAUACAUUUUUGCAUUAAUUAAUACGUUCUUUAAGAUCUCACAGAAAUACAAUAUAAAAAAACGAUUAUGUACAUUGCGAUGGCGAUUCGAGGGACACGCAUAACGUUAAUUUUUUGAAAAUUCGUCAAAGUGUACAACCUCAGACUCGCUCUCCUCGCUUUGCUGCGCGAGCGAGCUUCUUUUAAUUAAAAUUACCCGCCCUACAUUCGCUUGCACAAGAUUUAAUCGCUGAUCGAGUGCAGCCCUGCGCACGUAUAAUUUAAGUUGCAUCGUAUCAGUGAGCUAAAGCUGCCUUUGCGUCGGAUUAAUCCGCGCAAAAUCGGUGGGAUUGUGAGCUUAUGUGAAUAUCAAAGCGAGCAAAGAGUGAAGGAGAACCAUACGAAGAGUAAAGAAGAGACAGAGAGAGAAGAAGAGAAAGAUAGGUAGAGUAGGUUGAGAACACAAAUAUAUUAGAUAGAUACGCGUCAAUUUUCAGUAUGCCAGCAAACGAGAAACCAAUGCGGAUUUGUAUGGCAUUAUCCAUGCAUAUUGUAAGAUGCAUCUUGUUGAUGUAACAUAGCGCUGUUGAUUCUCCAGCAAACGCUGUUUCCGAGCGAUAUAAAGCACGUAUUACACUUGGCUUCUACCAGAUCAGAUAUUAAUUAGAAAAUUCUUUGACGGUUCAGGAAUUGAUAUCCCUUCGAUGAAAAUUAUUAUUUCGUAAUUUAUUAUUUCGUAAUUUAUUAUUUCGUAAUUUUGCAAUUUCCCCAUCCCUUCGAUUAUUAAAUACCUUUACAAUACAUACUCGAAAUCAAAGUUCUUUCAAAGUGAAGCCUGUUUAAUCCAUAAAAGCUGACUAUUCUCUUCAUAUGAGGAAUAAAAUGCUAUUUAUUUAAAUCCCCCCCGAUUAUAUUGAAUCGCGAAAAGCCUUGCAUCUCGAAUCGCUAAUGAAAAUAUUACAUGUUUCGAUAUCUCCUUCGGCGAAGAUCAGUUUUAAACUAUCGACCAAAAACUAUCGUUUUUAUUACAAAAAGAUCAUAGAAAAGCGAUCAGAGCGAUUACGUGUUGGUUGUUUCCAUUUCAACGCACUUGCAUGUACAAGCGAUUCCAGUGCAACUCAAAUCACUGCAACGUAUUUAUAAAUGUACAUCGUCGUAGUAAUUGCAAAACUCCUUUGACAUCAAACGUUGCGCGCAGUCGCGAAACUCGAACUCAUUAAUGCGAAUGCAAUCGAAAAUGAGAAAGCUCGAUACCAGCCACCCCUUGACCGCGCGUACAGCUUGUACUUGCAAGCACGAGGUCAUGAAGAAGCAUAACGCGGACGAGAGGUCUCGAUGUUACAGAGCGCGCCGCAGCGACAUUCCCAUUUCUUUGAUUAAAAAAUAAUUAGCUGCUGAUGGCCCCGGUCGAAACAGCAGGGAAACUCACACAGCACAGGUUGCUUUGUGCGUCCGAAAGGGCGGACCGGGUUCCCUUUCAUCCUCGACUCACUCUCUCCGCACUCGUGCAACCAACAACUCCCUACGUGACCCUAUCACUCUCGUAUCUGCUUCGCACUCUCGUCUGGCUUCGCACGCUUCCUGCUCUCCCGUUCUCUCUCCCCCCACCCCCAGAUUAUUAAUUUCAUUAAUUUCCCCUCGGUUUUCCGGAAUUUCUCGCUCUCGUUAGACCGCGAGCGGCGCGCCGAGUUGGCGGACUUUUAAAGUCGGUAACAAGUGGGUACACGCGAGAAGCGAGGCGUGUCCCACCUACCAGGAGGGAAAAUUACGACACUCAACACUUUCACGACUAAUGAAGACGCCCUAACGUGGUAAUCGAUACUCGGUAUACUUUGUAACUGGUCUGGUGAAAGGAAUUUCUUUGGUUUUUCAACGCGACGAGAUUUGCUCGAGAUAAAAAAUAAAUCUUUUUUUCGUAAAAUGUUUUAUAUAAAAUUUUUUAUAACAAUUAUCGCAUGUGAAUAUCAUUAUUUAGCAAGAUACUUAACAAACAACGUGUGAUGUGCUUUACAGGAAAGCUAACUUUGAUGAAACACACCGAUUUACCGAUUUAUAUUAAAAUAUUAAAAUAAGCACCAAGUUCGCACGCGGAGGUUCGCGUUUACGAUGCUCUUUGUGACACCCAGUGACAGAAUUAAAUUUAAUACGAAACGAGCAGUUGCGCGAAUUAUUCUGAUUGCUGAACUUGCGACUCGCAAUCAUGCGAGGUGCUGAGAAGCACGCGAGAGGCACACGCGCGUUCCCUUUUUCCCUCGAUUCUCGCGAACUUAUUUCACAGAGUAUCGAUAAUACGCGGCAAGUUCCAACGCGAGUUCGCUUUUCCUACUUUGUUUUACGCGUUCUUUGCGGAACGUAGCUCUUCAGGCGAUUACCGCGUGCAUAUUUUAUGCGACAGUGGCGAGCAGCUACGCACACCCCUCAUUGGUGAUCAAAGAAAAAAGCCGGAGCAGAUGAUAAAUUACUCCAGCUCGCGAUAUUACAAGUUCGCAAACUGUUCAAAUUACCUUUCCUUAAUUUAUACAACCGCACCUCCCCACGAACUGACAUCGGCGGAAACUGCGUUAAUACUUGGCGCUUUAUAAAAUUGUACUGAUAGUUGACGACAUUUCGACGAGUUUUAUAGCGGGCGUUAUUUGCUACUCACGACGCGACGGUCGAAUAAGUUUUCGAAGCAAAGUGCUAGCGAUGCGCGCGUAUUCAGAAAAAAGGUAAAAGGCAAACGGAGAAAGACGACGGGAAAGGAGCUGGAAGUCGAGGGGGCGAUACGGGAAAAAGUGACGGAACGAAGUGAAUAUUGGCUAUCUCCAAGCUUCGACGUCAUUAAAACUUUUAGAUUGCAUAAGAAUGGCUUCCCGCUCCGCGGGUUCUUCAGAGGACGUCAUGUCGGGCAAGAAAUUCCUGUUCGGCCAGGCGGUAAUUACGGAAGCCCAUGAUAAAUUAAGAGAGCAAGAUGAGCGCGUCCGGUUUUUGUGCCGUCCUGCCAAACUCCGCAUAUUUUACCUGCUGAUCUAUAAAUGGCAUAUACAUAACAGCAUACCUCGAGGUUUUCCUGUGCAACUUCGGGUUUUCACCUCCGUUCCCGCGUAGGGUAUUUACGUUAAAACUUCUCCAAUCGAAUAAAUCGUAGUAUUUGCUCGUAUUUGCGAGAAACGGGACUGCAAAUAACGUCGCUGUUCAUUUACUUGAACCAUCACUCAAGAUAAGACAACAGGAAAAGUGCGAUAUCGAGGGUUGAAUUGACCGUUGAAUAGGAAUCAAAUAAUGAACAAAUCGCGUUGCUCGUAAACGAUAACGCGUCUAUCGCGAAAUUCAUCCAACGUCAUUCAUCGAUCUCGAUGCAGCAUUAUCGCGCGUUGAGAUCCAUCCGAAAUUUCCAGUAACGGUGAAAACCUACGUUCUAUCAGAGAGUCUCAUCACUUGCGGCGGCGUUUGAAUGCGCGGCGGAAGUGCAUCGCAGAAAUACGCUUCUAUUAUCGUGGUUGCACCUGUGGCAGCGAACACACCGCCAUACAAGACGACUUGUCCCGAAAAUGCAUGUGCACCGUUUGCACGUUUGCGAGCGAACGAUUUGAAUAAAGAGCGAGAUAGACAGAGAUAGAGAGAUCAACAGAGAGAAGGAUAAACAAGAAUAGAUAGAGUUGAGGAGAAAUUGUGUGUGCGCGCGCGAGAACACACACUGGGCACAAACAAAGUUAUUUUGCAUUGGACGAUGUUAAUGUAACAGGAGGAACCUUGCAUUCCAAAAGGGACUCCAGCGCAACAUUCCGUUCUACCCAGGUUCUACCAUGGCUAUGUAUUCCAUCCGUAAAGUUCAUCACGAUCAUCGCAAAUGUUUAAACAGCGAAAAUUGCAUAACACGCGCAAAGGCGAACAAACGGCGCGCAGGUUCGUUCAAUUAAAGAAGAUGGGACGGCUGUUCUUUUCAUCGGUAAGUACGUAUACGAGAUAACUAAAGAUAAGAGCCUUUUCUUCAGACUCUAUUUUCUUCGCGGAGCUCCAGUAGCUUGGCAGUAGCUUCAUGAAGGUAAGGGAGGAAAAGGAAACUUAAAUGACGUCUUGUUUCCUUUACAUAUAUUUAUAACGCGCUCGGCAGUAAUGAGGGGUGCAAGCGUACGUCAUUGUAAAGACAUUGAAAAUAAUCCGAAUUAAAUAUAUCUGCGCAACUGAAUAUUACGUUAUCCUUCAGUUAAAAAAUAUAUGGACGUGCGCUUGAUCCGCGCUCGUAUUUAUAUUAAAAACCUUAUAGUAAAUCCGACGCGCCGAUCCAUAAACGUUGAAAAUUGUAUACUGUAUUUAUGAUUCCAUUUUCCGCUUUGAUCGGAGUUUUACCCUUCAACGUGGAGCGAUUUUGAUAACGCGCGCAUUUAUUAACCGUCGGAAUUCAAUCACGAGUUUGCCCGUUUUAAUAUUCUGAGCGAUAUCAAAACGGGAACAUAAUCGCGACUAUUUAUUUUGCAAACAGCCGCGAGAUAAAAUCGUCGCAAUCGUCAAUUUUUUUGAGAGAGAUGCGCGGUUAUCGGCAGUAAUCAAGGAUUUGAUGCGGCAUGAUAGCGUCCGGCGACGUUAAUUAGAUUUUCGCGCGCGCGUAACUGCGAUAGGCGGCGAAGGGCGGUAAAUCUUGGCCGUGGAUCUGGAUUAAUUUUGUAAACUUGGCCGCGUCGGCUUUUACGGGCGCCCAUAAAUUUCCCGAUUCAACACUCCCACAACGAGCAAUACAGCGCACACUCGCGCGACUUUUUUUUAUUUCCUGCUCCGCGCGCGACCGAUUUAACGCGGAACUUGUACACGCGCGCGGAGGAUACUACGUAAAAAAUCCAUAAACGUCGGGAAAAUUUGGGAGAUAUAUACUAUGCGCUCGCGAGACCACGAACAGCAUUAUUGUCAGCAGCUGUGCCGAGGUGGAUGGCAAUCCAGAUUACUGUCAUCGCCACCGAUAAAUUCCGAAGCACGGCCGUACUUUAAACCGUUUACCGUAGCCCCUGUGGCUCACGCUAGUGUCGAUACGGGUUAAAGCAAUUUACCGCGCGAAAAUCGCUUACAGGAGCGGUCAGAUUCCUGCACUGCUACAUGAGAACACGAAGGCGUAUGUAAGUCGUUAGGUUGUAAGAGCACGACCAGAAUUUAAAGGAAGAAUAAAAGCUCCUACGUACGCCAUAAAAUAAAUCGCGACAAUGAUAGUGAUACAGCAAUAGGAAACGUUUUUCUUUAAUUGACUGGAUAUCUCGUAGUUCGCGAUGUAUAACGAAAUUCCUUUCCCGAA
rnacentral:lncRNA from 1 species